GCCGAGGUGGCGGAACAGGACAGACGCGCCGGACUCAAAAUCCGGUGGUAAAAAAUACCAUGAGGGUUCGAGUCCCUCCCUCGGUA
rnacentral:tRNA from 1 species